rnacentral:rRNA from 1 species
UACGUAGGGGGCAAGCGUUGUCCGGAAUCAUUGGGCGUAAAGCGCGUGUAGGCGGCUUGGUAAGUCUGCUCUGAAAGCCCGGGGCUCAACCCCGGGAGGCGGGUGGAUACUGCAGGGCUAGAGUCCGGAAGAGGCGAGUGGAAUUCCUGGUGUAGCGGUGAAAUGCGCAGAUAUCAGGAAGAACACCCGUGGCGAAAGCGGCUCUCUGGAACGGUACUGACGCUGAGACGCGAAAGCGUGGGGAGCGAACAGG